AAACCUAAUCAAGGACCCCCCGGGGGGGAUGCGGCCUUUGGGUUGUAAACCUUUUUUCAGCAGGGACGAAGCGAGAGUGACGGUACCUGCAGAAGAAGCCCCGGCCAAUUACGUGCCAGCAGCCGCGGUAAUACGUAGGGUGCGAGCGUUGUCCGGAAUUACUGGGCGUAAAGAGCUCGUAGGCGGUUUGUCGCGUCGUCCGUGAAAACUUGGGGCUCAACCCCAAGCUUGCGGGCGAUACGGGCAGACUUGAGUACUGCAGGGGAGACUGGAAUUCCUGGUGUAGCGGUGAAAUGCGCAGAUAUCAGGAGGAACACCGGUGGCGAAGGCGGGUCUCUGGGCAGUAACUGACGCUGAGGAGCGAAAGCGUGGGUAGCGAACAGGAUUAGAUACCCUGGUAGUCCACGCCGUAAACGGUGGGCGCUAGGUGUGGGUUUCCUUCCACGGGAUCCGUGCCGUAGCUAACGCAUUAAGCGCCCCGCCUGGGGAGUACGGCCGCAAGGCUAAAACUCAAAGGAAUUGACGGGGGCCCGCACAAGCGGCGGAGCAUGUGGAUUAAUUCGAUGCAACGCGAAGAACCUUACCUGGGUUUGACAUAUACCGGAAAGCCGUAGAGAUACGGCCCCCCUUGUGGUCGGUAUACAGGUGGUGCAUGGCUGUCGUCAGCUCGUGUCGUGAGAUGUUGGGUUAAGUCCCGCAACGAGCGCAACCCUUGUCCUGUGUUGCCAGCGCGUAAUGGCGGGGACUCGCAGGAGACUGCCGGGGUCAACUCGGAGGAAGGUGGGGACGACGUCAAGUCAUCAUGCCCCUUAUGUCCAGGGCUUCACACAUGCUACAAUGGCCGGUACAGAGGGCUGCGAUACCGUGAGGUGGAGCGAAUCCCUUAAAGCCGGUCUCAGUUCGGAUCGGGGUCUGCAACUCGACCCCGUGAAGUCGGAGUCGCUAGUAAUCGCAGAUCAGCAACGCUGCGGUGAAUACGUUCCCGGGCCUUGUACACACCGCCCGUCACGUCAUGAAAGUCGGUAACACCCGAAGCCGGUGGCCUAACCCUGUGGAGGGAGCCGUCGA
rnacentral:rRNA from 1 species